CCAGUUCAGGUAGAAACAUUGCCUGGCUAAGCUGCAGCAGGAACCUCAGAAGUCGCUUUCCUGUAGUUCUCAAUUGGUUUUCCACCUUGUUGAUGUCCAAAAAAACUAGGAGCGCACAACUCAAGUCUUCAAUGUUUUUGAGACAUUCUACCCAAUCCCAGCUUCACCACAGUCCCCGCCCCUGCUUUGUUUGGACCUCCCAGUUUUCUCUUCCACCCUGACUACUACACUGCCUCCAUCUUUGGCCUGAUAGCUCAGACUGCAACAGCUUACAGGUGUAACCCUUAAAUGAGAAAUGUUCCCUCGCAUGUGGUGAGAAUGCUUGAAUGCUCCACGAAUCACAGAGAAAACUAAGCUGUGCAGCACAUUUGGUGUAAAAGCAGAGAAAUGGUUUGAGAACAGCCUAAAAAAGACGCUACCAAGACCUGAAGCGGCCACAAAUCUCUCAGUAAUUCAGGUUUAUCAAGCUAAGGAUACCAAUGUUUUGAAAUACAUCUGGUCCUCUAUCCUCUUUCUGUUAUCACUGUAAUAUCUGUACAAUCUUAACAAUAGAAUAACAAUUUCUUUGUCACAAAUUUCCAAAGUAAAAAUCUACACUGAAAUCAUUAUGAACCAUCAUUAAAAAAUGCAUAUGUUCUAUUAACAGUAAUUAGUUUAAAAUCCUACUGCUAUGAAUUGUAAAGAUCAUAAAAUGGAAUAAUACUGUUUGGUAUAAAAUACAGACAGUAUAGUAUAAUUU